ACCAAAGAGUUACUGUAACGCCCCCCACAUCGCAUAGCCACCAAAAGUGCAUUCCUGCAGCGUGCAUCGCCUCAACCUGAAUGAUGAAGAAUCUUCUAAAGCCACUGACGAGCAAUACCAAAGAGUUACUGUAACGCCCCCCACAUCGCAUAGCCGCCAAAAGUGCAUUCCUGCAGCGUGCAUCGCCUCAACCUGAAUGAUGAAGAAUCUUCUAAAGCCACUGACGGACAAUGUAAACUCAUGAAAUAUCACACCUACAACAAGUUACAAAAGCAUAAUGAAGCACAAUCCAGAAAAAAGUUAAAAUGUCUUAAAUAAAU